UCCACUUUUAAUAGCUAAAUGAGUUAGGGAUAAGAAUUACUUUUGCUAGUUUACUAAUAUAUGAAAGAAAUUACUCUUGCUAGUUUAGUUCAAGAUCACAUUUUUAUGAUUUCCUAGACUACUUUUCAUGAUAGGGGAUGUAUCUGGAAAAGUAAAAUUCAAAAGGGUAGCCCGGUACACGAAGCAUUUUGCGUUCACGCAGGACUUGGGGAAGGGCCGCACCACAAUGAGGUGAAGAAUUUGAGAGGAAGAAGGCAGAAUAUGAAGAGAAGAUGAAGAACAAGAUGGCUGUAAUUCACAGGGAAGCAGAAGAAAAGAGGGCACUAAUUGAAGCAAAUCGAGGCCAAGAUUUUCUAAAAGUAGAGGAAACUGCUGCAAAAUUUCAUGCUACUGGAAUUCCCAAAAAGUUCUUGGGUUGCUUUGGCCGCUAAAUUUUUUUUAUCAAAUAUCUCAAAAACAAUCAUAUGCAGACUCUGCAUUCUGUUUUUCUUUUUCUCCUUAUUUGUUACCAUGAUAUUUCUAGUUUUAUUUCUUUGAGUUGGUUGGGUAUAAUUGCUUAAUGAUUGAUCCUUUUGUGUAUAGAGCAAGUACUUGAUUAUAUUUUUGAUAGAACAAUCAUGUGUUAUGAACAAAAACUCAGAAUUUCUGUUAAGUUGGUUCAAUUUUUCAUGUUA